CAGGCCUACAUGAUGUCCGCUGAUGGCAGCUCUCUGACUCUGCUGUGAUGCUCUGUGGGUGCAUCCUUUCAAAACAAACUGAAUAACAUGACGUAAAGAUGCCUAUUGUGGGAGAAAUGACAACAUUGUGCGUAUGUAAAUUGCUGCCGGUAGGGUUCUCUAAUGAAGGGCUCUGGUUCCGAAAGUGUUUUUCCAUUGACGUUUCAGAAAUUGCUGAUAUAAAGGUUUUUUUUAGCUACGUGAGGAAGCAUGACCAUAAAACAUUUGAUUCUGCUAAAAAAAAGAAGACGGCAAUAGGUACGCCAAAAGAUAUUACAAUAAAGGCCAACAGAGGUGACCUGACCACGCCUGAGGCAGGGAAGUGAAAAUCAAACACUCCUGCAUAGAAAGGAAUCGCCCCCUUCAGGUUCAAUCCAUCAACCCAAUUAGAGGUUAUAUGUAUGCAGCCUUCAGUCUUUUCCACCCCAAACAUGAUGUAUGUGUCCUUUAAAACCACACGCAGCAAAGAAACUGAAUUGAAUCUGCCAGUCUGCUGACUGCGUCUCAUUCAUGCUGACACAUAUUGAGUCAACUCUCCAGUGUUUCCCUUCACUAGAUGUAGACAAUGUAUUGCAAAGUCAGUAUGAGUGGAGCCUCUCCCAAUACACAUGCACUGCUAAACACACACACGUAAUUUAAGCUUUAAAUGUGUUAGGUUUUUAUUUUGGUAGUGGGCUUGGCUGUAUAUUUGGCCAUCGAAGCUUAGUUUGUGGAUGUCAGACAUUAGUAGUGUGAUGGGAAAUCCAUCUAAAAGUAAGCUGAACAUUGUAAUUUUUUUCUUUUCAACUUUCUAUUGAUAUACAGGCUAUAUGUAUAUGAC